rnacentral:rRNA from 1 species
UGAGAAACCUGUCCCGGUCUCUGGAAUAACAGUCGGAAACGACUGCUAAUACCGGAUGCCGUCGGAGCGUCGCAUGGCGCGCUGACGAAAGGGCUACCGGAUCGGGAGGGUCUCGCGGCCUAUCAGCUUGUUGGUGAGGUAACGGCUCACCAAGGCAUCGGACGGGUAGCUGGUCUGAGAGGAUGAUCAGCCACACUGGGACUGAGACACCGGCCCAGACCUCGUACGGGGAGG